UAACUUUAUAUUCAGCCGGAUAAUUAGAGGAUAAACAAUAGUGAAUUCAAUUUUAGGAAUAAAGAAUCAAGUAGAAUUCAAUAAUGAAUCUUAACUCUUAUAGGAUCCCACAGGGAAAAAUUGAGCACAAACUCUGAACUUAAUGAUCUAUGAUGUUUAUAAUAUAGAUGAUAUCUAAAUUUGCAUUAAAAAAUACUAACUUAAUUCAUUCCAACAAAAGAAGUCAAUACAAUACUAGAAUCCAUGAUCACUCGGCAGAUCAACCUGAUGUAUCUUGGCAUGGUUAUUCACUUGAGUGAAGUUUUGCUGUGGGUGAUCUCUGUCAGGAUUCUAUUGAUGAAAUUUUGCGCAUUCAAGAACCAAAAAACUUCGAUGCGGUCAUCAUUCAAGCCUGCUUUGAGUGUCAAUUACAGAAGACCUUGAUGGAACCAAUUUGUCAUUCGAACCAGCGUCAAGCAAAGCCG
rnacentral:lncRNA from 1 species